GACGAACGCUGGCGGCGCGCUUAACACAUGCAAGUCGAACGGAAAGGCCCUGCUUUUGUGGGGUGCUCGAGUGGCGAACGGGUGAGUAACCCGUGAGUAACCUGCCCUUGACUUUGGGAUAACUUCAGGAAACUGGGGCUAAUACCGGAUAGGAGCUCCUGCUGCAUGGUGGGGGUUGGAAAGUUUCGGCGGUUGGGGAUGGACUCGCGGCUUAUCAGCUUGUUGGUGGGGUAGUGGCUUACCAAGGCUUUGACGGGUAGCCGGCCUGAGAGGGUGACCGGCCACAUUGGGACUGAGAUACGGCCCAGACUCCUGCGGGAGGCAGCAGUGGGGAAUAUUGCACAAUGGGCGGAAGCCUGAUGCAGCAACGCCGCGUGCGGGAUGACGGCCUUCGGGUUGUAAACCGCUUUCGCCUGUGACGAAGCGUGAGUGACGGUAAUGGGUAAAGAAGCACCGGCUAACUACGUG
rnacentral:rRNA from 1 species